rnacentral:rRNA from 1 species
UACAGAGGAGCCAAGCGUUGUCCGGAUUGACUGGGCGUAAAGCGCACGCAGGCGGAUGCGCGCGUGGGGUGUGAAAUCUGGCCGCUUAACGGCCAGGCGCCAUCCCAUACGGCGCGUCUGGAGUGAUGCAGAGGUCGAUGGAAUUGCCGGUGUAGUGGUGAAAUGCGUAGAGAUCGGCAGGAACACCCAGGGGGAAACCAGUCGAACUGGGCAUCGUACUGACGCUGAGGUGCGAGAGCGUGGGAGCG